AUUGAACGCUGGCGGCAUGCUUUACACAUGCAAGUCGAACGGCAGCGGGGGAGAAGCUUGCUUUUCCUGCCGGCGAGUGGCGAACGGGUGAGUAAUACAUCGGAACGUGCCCUGUAGUGGGGGAUAACUAGUCGAAAGAUUAGCUAAUACCGCAUACGACCUGAGGGUGAAAGUGGGGGACCGCAAGGCCUCAUGCUAUAGGAGCGGCCGAUGUCUGAUUAGCUAGUUGGUGGGGUAAAGGCCUACCAAGGCGACGAUCAGUAGCUGGUCUGAGAGGACGAUCAGCCACACUGGGACUGAGACACGGCCCAGACUCCUACGGGAGGCAGCAGUGGGGAAUUUUGGACAAUGGGCGUAAGCCUGAUCCAGCAAUGCCGCGUGUGUGAAGAAGGCCUUCGGGUUGUAAAGCACUUUUGUCCGGAAAGAAAUGGCUCUGGUUAAUACCUGGGGUCGAUGACGGUACCGGAAGAAUAAGGACCGGCUAACUACGUGCCAGCCGCCGCGGUAA
rnacentral:rRNA from 1 species